UACGUAGGGGGCCAGCGUUGUCCGGAAUCAUUGGGCGUAAAGCGCGCGUAGGCGGUCAGGUAAGUCCGGUGUGAAAGUCAUAGGCUCAACCUAUGGAUGCCGCUGGAAACUGCCUGACUUGAGUCCGGGAGGGGCGAGUGGAAUUCCUGGUGUAGCGGUGAAAUGCGUUGAGAUCGGAAGGAACGCCCGUGGCGAAAGCGAGGUCCUGGACGUCUUCUGACGCUGAGACGCGAAAGCCAGGGGAGCGAACGGG
rnacentral:rRNA from 1 species